UACUGAGGCGCACGCCUAGACUGC
rnacentral:piRNA from 1 species